rnacentral:sRNA from 1 species
UACAACCGCAUCAUCAACCAGAUCUCUACCAACGAGAUCCAGAGUGACCAGAACCUGAAGGUGCUGCCACCCCCUCUGCCCACUAUGCCCACUCUCACCAGCCUCCCAUCUUCCACCGACAAGCCGUCGGGACUCUAGGAAUCAUCAUUUCUGGAAGAAGCAGGCCAGAGGCUCCCCUGUCAGAAUGUCAGCACACAUCCAGUCCCCUGAAGCUCAGCCCCUUGUUCAUCCAGAACACCUGAGCCUUCCCAGUGGGCUGCCAUAUGAGAACUAUAUUCAUCUCUGCAUAAACGAACCAUGUAUCUACUCCAA